UACAGAGGUCCCAAGCGUUGUUCGGAUUCACUGGGCGUAAAGGGUGCGUAGGUGGUGAGGUAAGUCGGAUGUGAAAUCUCCAAGCUCAACUUGGAAACUGCAUUGGAAACUACCUUGCUAGAGGAUUUGAGGGGGGAUUGGAAUACUUGGUGUAGCAGUGAAUUGCGUAGAUAUCAAGUGGAACACCAGUGGCGAAGGCGAAUCCCUGGAAAAUACCUGACACUGAGGCACGAAAGCUAGGGGAGCAAACAGG
rnacentral:rRNA from 1 species